rnacentral:lncRNA from 1 species
AGUACUAUACCUGGUAGUUGGAAGCUGAAAUCUAAAACAAUGACUAUUCCUUUUUCACAGGUAUUGUAAUGUUUGCCCUUUUUGCCCUGCCAUCAUUGAAAGAUAGUGCAGUAAUCAACCUGAUUUUUGUCAGUUCAUGGAAUAAUGGGGAAAAAAGGAACCGUUUCAUAGAAAAUAAUGGUGAGAAGUCCUUGGCCUCUGCUGUGGAUGUAAAAUCUCUCCCUCUUGGAACUGAUGAAACACAGAAGUACGGUGGGAUUAGAAAAGUGACUUGCACAGUGAGCAAGUGCUACCAACCAUGGAGGCUUCUGUUUGAGGCAGGAUCAAAUUGGGAACUGUAAUGUUGAGCCAAACAGCAGCUGGGUAGUGAAAGCAGUAGCCUUCACUCUGGAGACUAUUGAACUGACGUCUUAAAGUGUAAAAUCGCAUUUCUGAAACUGCUAAUAAACCACCCUUUGUCUCCA